AACGGGAUUUUGAGAAGCUUGCUUCUUGAGAUUCAGUGGCAAACGGGUGAGUAACGCGUAAACAACCUGCCUUCAGGAUGGGGACAACAUACGGAAACGACUGCUAAUACCGAAUACGUUCCUGGUUCCGCAUGGGAUAAGGAAGAAAGGAUGGCCUCUCGAAGAAGCUAUCGCCUGAAGAGGGGUUUGCGUCUGAUUAGGCUGUUGGCGGGGUAACGGCCCACCAAACCAACGAUCAGUAGCCGGUCUGAGAGGAUGAACGGCCACACUGGAACUGAGACACGGUCCAGACUCCUACGGGAGGCAGCAGUGGGGAAUCUUCCACAAUGGGCGAAAGCCUGAUGGAGCAACGCCGCGUGAGUGAUGAAGGCCUUCGGGUUGUAAAGCUCUGUUAUUCGGGACGAAAGAGCGCAUGGCUAAUAUCCAUGCGAAGUGACGGUACCGAAAGAGAAAGCCACGGCUAACUACGUGCCAGCAGCCGCGGUAAUACGUAGGUGGCAAGCGUUGUCCGGAAUUAUUGGGCGUAAAGAGCAUGUAUGCGGGCUUUUAAGUCCGACGUGAAAAUGCGGGGCUUUAACCCC
rnacentral:rRNA from 1 species